UUGGAGGGCAAGUCUGGUGCCAGCAGCCGCGGUAAUUCCAGCUCCAAUAGCGUAUAUUAAAGUUGUUGCAGUUAAAAAGCUCGUAGUUGAAUUUCGGGAUCAAUACGUCGGUCGUGCUUUUUUGGUACGCACUGGCGUCAUUGGUUUCUCCUUUCUGACGAACCAUGAUGUCGUUAAUUUGGUGUUAUGGGGAGUUAGGACUGUUACUUUGAAAAAAUUAGAGUGUUUAAAGCAGGCAUUAGCUUGAAUACAUUAGCAUGGAAUAAUGAAAUAGGACGUUCGAUCCUAUUUUGUUGGUUUCUAGGAUCAACGUAAUGAUUAAUAGGGAUAGUUGGGGGCAUUAGUAUUCAAUUGUCAGAGGUGAAAUUCUUGGAUUUAUUGAAGACUAACUACUGCGAAAGCAUUUGCCAAGGAUGUUUUCAUUAAUCAAGAACGAAAGUUAGGGGAUCGAAGACGAUCAGAUACCGUCGUAGUCUUAACCAUAAACUAUGCCGACUAGGGAUCGGAUGAUGUUAAUUUUAUAAUGACUCAUUCGGCGCCUUACGGGAAAC
rnacentral:rRNA from 1 species